UUCCCCAGAUACCUUCUCAAAAUUUCCAUUGAGUAUUAAAGAUACUAACUCAUUUUCUUUUUUCAUUCCUAUGUGUUUUAAUUCAGUUUAUUGUUUCAGAGGGGAAUAAUAAGACUACCAAAGGUAAGCGCUUCAAUCUCUAGUUUUGCAAUGAGGGUUUCUAUUACGGUAGCUUUUUACUUUCAAAAUUUCAAUUUCUUAUUUAGUAUAGCUGUUUAUUUUAUUUGAUCUCUACUAAGCAUUGGUAUUAUGAAUGAAUUGCUAUUUACAAAUUGAUAUGUAUAAACCCUUAUUAAAAUGAUUGAUAUAUGUAAACAAUUAGGCCAUUCAUAUUGAGAUUGACAAGUCCUUGAUUUUUGUACCUUUAUCUUUAGGUUUUCUGUGGGAAUAUUGGGGCUUUUUUAGAAAAAUAAGUUAUGAAAGGGCACACAUAACUUGUUUGAUGAAAUGCAUGUGUUGUGACAAUUAGACAAAUUUUGAAUUAUUAGGAAUUGAGUGUUAAGGAUUGUGCUGGACGGUUAUGAGGGAAUCACAUGAGUAUAUGAACAUCACGGAUUUUUCUAGUUUCGAGGUCCUUAUAAUAACUAGUGGGCUAAGUAUUUAUAAGAAUUGAUGUAAGAAAAAAAAAACCAUCCUAUUUACUUCUCAGUCAAUCAUUUUCUGUUUAAUGUAAUGAUGCUCAAAGGAGUGUAAAAUUCCUUUUUGAAGAGUGACUAUAUAUUGAAUAUGCUGAAGCAGAGGAGGCUAGAAAACAAAGUUAGCUUGUAACUGUGCGAAUCGUCACCUUUCAUAAGUAGAGAAAAAUGAGGAUGAAAGAUAGAGAAUGUAAAAUAAUUCAAGUGCCGUUGGAGGGGGAGAAAGACAGGGAAGAAGAAACAUGUUUUCUUAUAUAGUGAAGAGUUGAGAAAUAGACUUCAUCGCUAAUCGUAGAUUUUAAACAAGCUAAAUUUUAGAAGAUGUAUACGGAAUUUUCACUAGUCACUUGUACAUGAUUAUAGUAAACACAAAGUUAAUCUCAGUUAAGUCAACAUAGUUUGUACAGGGACCAAAUAUUGAGUGAAGUGUAAAAGCCAAUUAUAAGAAGAAAAGCAUAGUAUAGACUUAUGAUCGAAUUAACUACGCUUCAAAGCCGAACUAGUCGGGGUUAGUUAUAUAAAUCAUAGUGCAUAUAUUAUGUAUUAACUACUGACUGAACUAUACACAGUGACUAGUUAAUCAUGGUACUACAGUGAGUCAGUGACUAUCAUCACGAGUUUAGAAUAAAAAGUCAUGUCCCUAGUUUCUUUUUUAUUUAGCAUUUGUUGGUUUCUCCACUAGUUUAGAUUUGUAACAUCUCUACAUUAUAUUAGAGUUGUCAUAGUCUAAACCCUUGAGAAGCCCUUUCAGCAGCAUGAAUAUGAUGUCUGACAAUAAUACUCAUAUUUUUUUCUUAUAUCAAUUUAUAUUCAGGGUGUUCAGCACUGAGUUCUCCAAAUACAUUUUAGCAAUUCCUUUGUCCUUUUUCAUUUUUGUUCUUGGUUAGGUUAUUUAUAGAAAUAUGAGCUUAUAUUUGAUGAUUCUUUUAGUUAUGAGGAGGAGGAGGAUUUGAAUGUGUUUUUCUCAGUGGAUGGAUGGGAUAAAUGCCUAUAUUGCUUUAUAAUGUUAUUGUUAUGUUGAUGUUAUAUUAAUGCCACUUUGGAAAGGUCUACCUUCAUUUUGACUUUAUUACUUUGCUAAACAUCUUCAGUAGCUUGAACAUUUAUGUUCUCCAUUUUCAGUUUUAUCAAAAUCCAUAAGUUUUUUAUUCAUGUAAAAAGUUCAACAAAAGAGUUGCUUUACUCAUGCUAUCAGAAAUGCCAUUUAGAAGCAUGUCAGUAUCAAUAUAUUUGCGAUUCCAAAACACUAGUCUGAGGAUGGUUUUACAUGUAACUAGAUAUGCUUAUAUUUUAUAUUAGGCAGAGAACUUUGACCUAGAUCAUUUUGUACUGAAUACUUUCUUGGUAAAUGCAAGGUUUGAGUAACUUGAGUUUGAUAUGGGUCUUUCAUAUAUUUGCUGCUUGUACUUUGUUAAAAGUCUUACCAUGGAACGUCAUCUUCAAAGAUUUUCCUGCUUUGCUGGUAGUGUCCUUUUAUUGUUAGUGUUGUGAUUUUAUAUGCUUAAGAACAUGUGCACAUUUGAUACACAUGCUGGUUAAUAGUUUUUUGUUUUAAAUGUAUUAGUAUAUUUGAGGAAAAUUAUUUUAAAAAUGUUUGGUGUAAUUUUGAAACUAAAGUGGACAUUUUGAAGAUACUUUAAUUUUUAUCAGGGAAAAGGCUUAUAUACUUCAAUACAUUUGAGGAAACUAUAGGGUGACACGUCCUAAUCAUUUAUGAGGUCCUUAGCUUUAGAUUAUAAUUUUAGAACUUUACUAACUUUGUAGCUACUGGCAGAUGAAUGGAAAAAAAGAUUUUCAGAGUCAUGUUUUGAUAAUCUACAUUUGGGGAGUAUUCAUGACAUGUUUCUUUUCCAACUACUCAAAAAUGUAUUGCUGAUACUUUCAGCUUUCAAUAUCUAAUCACUACCAAAAUCUUUCUCUACUUUAUAUCCAGUAAACUUGUUGUCUCUUUCUUUAUUUUAUCCUUCUCCAGCUAGAUGAUGUAUGUGUAUGCAAAUUUCACGUGCCAAGUGACUAUGCUGGUUGUAAACCUGCCAGCGUAUUUGCUAUGAUAUAAACUUAGUAAAUAUUUCAUAUGUACACCUUUAAUUUGAUUGGUUAGUUUAUGAUGAAAAGAUUGCAUUGAGUACAAAAUAAGAAAAGCACUAGUGAAGAUUACAUUCGUGACUUGUCAAAUAUGCAUAUUCUACUUUGAGCUGCAGAACUGGGAUAAAUUUAAGUCCUCAAUUGGUGCAUUUAUGGCUCCUACAGGCUGGUAUAGGUUAGAGUCCAAGCUGGUGUAAAGAUCCUCGUUUUGUGCCAAAUGUGAGUAAAUUGAUGUUUUUAGAUAGAUUUUUUUGGAUUUUUUUGGUUGCACUGACAGGUUACAAGAAGUUGGACUUUUGCAAGUUAUGUACUCUAGUUUUUGUCACACGGUGUUUCUUUCUUCCUUUCAAAGUCUUUUUCUAGUUUUGUGUUUGUUGUCAUGUGAUGAUGCCAUUGAAAUCUGACUAUAUUUUUUCCUACUAUGCCUUGCAAUUGGUUAGUUUUGAGAUCUUUUGAAUUCUAAUUGUAAUGGGAACUUCAAAGAUUGUGUAGACUAUUGAAUGAACUCUAAAUUCGUUCUAAGGAUUGAUACAUUUUCUAUUAUUUCCAAUUGCCUGAAUGAAAUCAAGGGCUGAAUGGAGACAUCUCUUGAACUAUUUGCUCAUUUAAUACUUCCUAGAAGGUUUAAUUUUUUGGAGCGAUUUGGUUAUUGAAAUCUAUGAUAAUCCUGCUUCUAAUUCUGAAUUUCGCAUGCCUAAAUAUCUUGUUUUAUUCUUGCAGUGAUACAUUAACCGGUGCUACAAAUGAUUAUUUCUGUUGUGUUCUUCCGCGAGAUAGGUGUUGUCAAACAUGUGCAUAGAGCUGUAUUUGUUGACUUUUGGAGUCUAUUACUGUGGAUGAAGUGAGAACUGGUGUAUCCAGGCAAUGCUUGAAUUGCUAGAACUUAACUGGGCUCUAAUGCAUAUAAAGGGCAAAACAUGUGUUGCUCAAGUUUUCAGAAUGACAUUAGCAGCCAGUUUUUACUACAUUUGGCAAGAGAGGAAUCAAAGAAUUUUUCUAAGUAGAGAAAUUCUUAGCAAACAGAUCAGAUGUUCAUGGUAGAGGUGUUUUGUCUCCUAGACAAGCCAGUAUAUUGGAAGAAAUUAACAUGUAUCCUUAUAAUCUGUGUAGUCCUUUGAAAUAGGGAGAUAGCUUUUGUAACUAGGAGACUGUGAACUUGGGGCUGUUUGUCCAAGUUACCUGGUCAUGCUUUGUAAAUACGCUAUGUACUUACCAAACAAUACAUGAAGAAUUAUGAAUGAAUAGAUCAUUUUGUAUACUUUUCGGAUGAGCGUGUUUGAAUGCAUUUGAAAGGAUUAUUACUUUU